CACUACUUGGCAGGGGUCCCUGUGCUGUGUUGGCACGUGGGGAUGGGGAACCUCCUACCGAGAACCUAAUUUGUCAACACCCUGGGCUCAGAGGAGAAAAACAGAAGCCGGGGUCUCGUUAGCUUUGAACGCCCACAGUCCCUUGCAUCCGAGUGGCUGCUGCGACUCAGGCGCGGCCUGUGUAAAUAGCGCCGGAUGGGAUUGUAGCUAAUAGGGUUAUUAAUACCUGUCACAUCCCAGGAUGGCAGAAUAAUGUGGAGGUUUUCUACUAUAGAUUAAAACCAACCAACAGGGAAUUUUCCUGAGUCUGGCAGUCACAGCUUUCUCUUCAGACAACUUUUCCUCCAGCCAUGCAGACGGGGUGGACAGAAUAAGAGGGCAGAGAGCUGAGGCGAGAAGGGGACAGCAUGUGGACUCCAGGGUUCUGCAGGUGCCUGGAGCCUGGGACAGAAGUGGAACCACCCAAGCUGGUGACUGUGCUGCUCCCUCCCGCCACAAGUGCCUGAGGUGUGGUCCUAUCUCUUCGCUUUCACUGAGGUACCCACACGGCCAAGGAGAAGGCCCUGCUGGGGAACUGGACCCUCACGACAUAAGCCACUCUGCCACACCUCACUGGAUGAGCCUCCACAGAGAAGCACUCCAGACUGUCAAUGUCCCAGUCUUGGAAGACCAGUCCCAACUACAAACAGGAUAACGCUAGCAUGCCUCUGCUUCAGUAUUGAGUUAGUCUCUUCCUGCCUCCUGUCACCCUAUUUGUACUCCACAUGUCAAGCCAGAGAGUUUCCUCCAAUGCUGAGGAGUUCCAGAGGCCGAGUUUCCUACCUGAUGCUCCACCAGCGACAGUGUGUUCAUGAAGCGAGCCAAGAUCCCAGUAGCACUCUCUCCUGCAGGUGUGUGGCCUGCUACUUUCCAUUCUUCUUGUGAGCUUUUGAAGAUUGUUGGCCAGGUGUUGGAAUAGACACCCUGGAUAACACUCAGAUGUGCUCUUCCAUAACACUAUUCCAUAGAUUACAAGUGCAACAAAGGCAAAGACUUUUGUCUAGUUCAUUCAUUGAUAUAUGCCACACAACUGGGAUAUUAGAAUAGUUACUGGCACAAAGCAGGUGCUUGGUAAGUACUCACUGACUAUCCUACCUCCUGCCUUAAUCUUUUGGUUUCUCCUUACCUUCUAACACAGGCU
rnacentral:lncRNA from 1 species